CCUACGGGUGGCAGCAGUGAGGAAUAUUGGUCAAUGGACGCAAGUCUGAACCAGCCAUGCAGCGUGAAGGAUGACGGCCCUAUGAGUUGUAAACUGCUUUUGUAAGAGGGUAAACGCAGAUACGCGUAUCUGUCUGAAUGUAUCUUACGAAUAAGGAUCGGCUAACUCCGUGCCAGCAGCCGCGGUAAUACGGAGGAUCCGAGCGUUAUCCGGAUUUAUUGGGUUUAAAGGGUGCGUAGGUGGUCGGAUAAGUUAGUGGUGAAAUCCCGAGGCUCAACUUCGGAAUUGCCAUUGAUACUGUUCGGCUAGAGAACAGUUGCGGUAGGCGGAAUGUAUGGUGUAGCGGUGAAAUGCUUAGAGAUCAUACAGAACACCGAUUGCGAAGGCAGCUUACCAAGCUACUUCUGACGUUGAGGCACGAAAGCGUGGGGAGCAAACAGGAUUAGAUACCCCUGUAGUC
rnacentral:rRNA from 1 species